rnacentral:lncRNA from 1 species
GUUAAGCUCACAACACCAGAAAUGCUUGAAUGAGAAAGAAUGGAACAUCAUUAGAUGAUAAUGGGAGCACUUCAUCAUCCAUUUCUCCACAGACCAUGUUUUCACGAGGUCAAGCUAUGAAGUGACCACCUGACUGAUGCACACGAGAAAUGGAGGGCAGCAAGCCUGCACGAGAUGGCCCCAUCAAAAAUGAACCACAUAUGCAAAGCCAGCAUGUACAUUAAGUUCGCGCUGACAAGCUGCAGCUGGUUUCAGGUACACCAGUCGAUGAAGUCUACCAGGAUGUGGUCAACAAUAUAGUAAGCUACACAUAGUAUGACUUUCC